UCCUUGGUGGCCUAGUGGUUAAGGAUAUGGCAUUGUCACUGCUGUGGCACAGGUUCGAUCCUUGGCCUGGGAA
rnacentral:tRNA from 1 species